AUGAAAAUAGAGUUUGUGAUAAGUAUGUGGAAGAUCCCGUAUGCGAACAAGGUCCCACCAGACCUCGAGAUUCUGAUUCGCCACCUUGAAGCAGUGGUGGCUCGUCUGGGCAGAAAAGGUGGUCUUGGCACUUCCCACACAUUGGCACCCGCGCCAGCACAAGUGUCAUCUCUGUUGGAGAAACUCGAUGCAGCUCAUGCGGGGAUCACUCGCGGCCUCGAGAAGGAAGGGUCGCGCCUAGAGGGAUGCCUUGCCGACCACGCCUCCAUUUGCAACAAACAAAAGAAGUUGGCCGAAGAACAUCGGAUGCUUGCUGGCAAACAUCAACAGCUUGUAGAGGAGUACAAGGCCCUCUGUGAGAAGGAAACCGAGAUGGCGACACUGGCUGAAAAGCGCAUAGGCGUCCUAGCUGACAUGAUGACUUCUAGCACUUGCCAUCUUGAAGCUCAUGAGGAUGCAGUCCAAGGACAAUGA
rnacentral:rRNA from 1 species